rnacentral:rRNA from 1 species
GACGAACGCUGGCGGCGCGCUUAACACAUGCCAGUCGAACGGAAAGGCCUGCUUUCCCUUGUGGAUUGCGGGUACUCGAGUGGCGAACGGGUGAGUAACACGUGAGUGAUCUGCCCCCAACUUGGGUAUAAGCCUGGGAAACUGGGUCUAAUUCCCGAUAGGACUGCAGGGUGGUGCCUGUGGUGGAAAACGAUUUUCUAGUGGUUGGGGAUGAGCUCGCGGCCUAUCAGCUUGUUGGUGGGGUAAUGGCCUACCAAGGCGGCGACGGGUAGCCGGCCUGAGAGGGUGGACGGCCACAUUGGGACUGAGAUACGGCCCAGACUCCUACGGGAGGCAGCAGUGGGGAAUAUUGCACAAUGGGCGGAAGCCUGAUGCAGCGACGCCGCGUGGGGGAUGACGGCCUUCGGGCUGUAAACUCCUUUCGACCGCGAGGAAGCCACCUGGUUGGAAGGGUGGUGACGGUAGUGGUAGAAGAAGCACCGGCUAACUACGUG